rnacentral:rRNA from 1 species
AUUGAACGCUGGCGGCAGGCCUAACACAUGCAAGUCGAGCGAGCGGCGGACGGGUGAGUAAAGUCUGGGAGACUGCCUGAUGGAGGGGGAGAACUACUGGAAACGGUGGCUAAUACCGCAUACCCUCUGAUAUGCGCAGAUGGGAUUAGCUAGUAGGUGGGGUAACGGCUCACCUAGGCGACGAUCCCUAGCUGGUCUGAGAGGAUGACCAGCCACACUGGAACUGAGACACGGUCCAGACUCCUACGGGAGGCAGCAGUGGGGAAUAUUGCACAAUGGGCGCAAGCCUGAUGCAGCCAUGCCGCGUGUGUGAAGAAGGCCUUCGGGUUGUAAAGCACUUUCAGCGGGGAGGCGUUACCCGCAGAAGAAGCACCGGCUAACUCCGUGCCAGCAGCCGCGGUAAUUC